rnacentral:rRNA from 1 species
UACGUAGGGAGCAAGCGUUGUCCGGAAUCAUUGGGCGUAAAGCGCGCGUAGGCGGCCCUGUAAGUCCGUUGUGAAAGUCAAAGGCUCAACCUUUGAAAGCCGAUGGAUACUGCAGGGCUAGAGUCCGGAAGAGGAGAGUGGAAUUCCUGGUGUAGCGGUGAAAUGCGCAGAUAUCAGGAAGAACACCUAUGGCGAAGGCAGCUCUCUGGGACGGUACUGACGCUGAGACGCGAAAGCGUGGGGAGCGAACAGG